ensembl:snRNA U1 U1 spliceosomal RNA
ACUCAUACCUUGCAGGGGAAAUACCAUGGUGAUGAAAGUGGUUUUUCCAGGGUAAGGCUCAUCCAUUGCACUUUGUGUGUGGUGAUCCCUAUGAUUUUCCCAAAUGUGAUGAACUCAACUGCAUAAUUUGUGUUAAUGUGGGAUUGCAUUUGUGAUUUCCCUGG